rnacentral:lncRNA from 1 species
GCAAAUUGUCCAUAUCCCUUAAACAAUAUACUUUAUACAUACCAUGCUAAAUCAAAGAGAAAUUGAAGAACUUGAAAACCCUAGCUUGAAAUAAUCUUCUUUCUUCUUUGUCGUCUUCUUCUUCUUCUUCAUCUUCUUUCUUCCCUUCUUUUUUCUUCUCUCUCAGGUUCUCUCGAGCCUUCUCUCAUUUUCCCCCAAAAUAUGAGAAAAUGAGUAAUAUAGAUGAUAUUUAAUGGAUAAUUAUUGAAUAAUUGCAAGUCAAGUCCCUCCUUUUAUGUUUUAAAUAAAGUCUAGUCAUUAACUUUCCAUUCUUGUAAAAUAAAUCCUCAAAUUUAAAUGAUGUCCAUGUUAAAUCCUCAAGGAUUGUCAAUUUGUAAAAUAACCCCAAUAAAACAAUUCACUCCAUUAAGGUCCUAUUUAACUUUGACUUUGAAAACUCAACUCUUGAUUUUUGACUAGAUAAAUUGGGUUGUAACAUAUGCCCCCUCUCUUCUGAAGGUUGCCUCCGUGUGUUUUAACAACUACAUUUACAGAAACAAUAAUUGACUAUUUUGUGCAUGCAUAUGUAAUGCUAGCAUGUCAAUUUAGCCAUUGUACAUAUCCUCCAAUUCACUCCUUGUUUGUGCACCGGUGAAUAUAAAAUUCAAUUGGAGGUUGGUUUCAUGGCGGCUGAGAAGGCGGCGGAGGGAAUCUCCAAGUGGCUAAUACAGGAAGUGCAGAAAUGGGGUGCCAUGAAACAGAUGGGUGUUAGCGUCUAUUACAUGAUGAAAUUUAGGUCCCGACCCAUCGAUCGAAAUUUGCUCAUUUCUGCUCAAUUCCUCCACAAGGAGUUACCUAUUCGGAUCGCUCGUCGGGCUAUUUAGUUGGAGUCGCUCUCCUAUGGUUUGUCCCAUAAUCCUGCUGUUUUGAACGUAUAUUUUCCCUUCAGGGUUUUCAAUAUUACCUUUUUAUUUAAUUUGGAUUUUGUUUUCCGCAUCUUAUCUUGUUCGAUAAUUUUUGAGAAUUACGGAUUGAUUAAUUUAAAACGGGUGCUUUUUAUCCAUUUAUGUUUUUGAUCGUGUUUUCUGAUUCGGUUGCGAAAUUAUAUUAAAAGCAGACCAUGUGGAUUAACGGACUGCUUAUGCAUCCUUUUGUUUAUCUAAAUGUGUUUUGAUCAUAUUUAAUUGUUUAGUCAUGGAUGAGAAGUUUCAAAUCAUGAUUUAUGUAUAAGAAUGUUCUUCAAUUUAAUUUGCAUGUUUUUUAUUUUCAAAUGAUAUAUGCCCUUUUGGCAUGAAUUGGACAGUGCAUUGUUGGUAAGUACAAUGUGUACCUUCCAUCUACAUCUUUUUAUCGUAUGACCGUGUCUAAUUUAUUUGCACAAUUAUGCGUGGGGAAUUCUAGAUGCACAAUUGGACCAAGUACUUGAUUCUACUCAAUGUUGAGGUAGCUAUUACAUGAUGUUUCAUUGUUUUUUUCUAUUUUUUUGAGAAAAGAUUGUAUUGUACUAACGAUUAAAUACAUGUUGAUUUCUUAUUUGUCCUCUUACUAGGUAAGAGAUUGGUAUUUGAAUUCUUUCCGUGACCUUAGAUCCUUUCCAGUUAUUAAGGCUAAGAAUGAUGAGUUAGAAUUCACCUAAAUGAUUAAGAUGAUCAAAGUUAGGUACAACAAUGUGGUCCCUAUGAUGGCUUUAGGAGUUCAACAGUUGAAGAAAGAUCUAGAUCCGAAAAUUGAUUUUGAGGAUCUCGGUGAAAUUCAUCAGUUUCUGGAUUGAUUUUAUAUGUCAAGAAUUGGGAUCCAAAUGCUAAUUGGUUAGCCUUUUUUGUUUGCCUGCUUCCAUUCUUACGGGCACAUCUAGUAUUGUUGUUGCGAUACUUAUUUGUAGUAUUGCUAAACAACUUUCAAUUUGCUUCAAAUGAUAACCUCAUGGUAGCAUGUGGCAUUGCACGAUCCAAACCCACCCCCUGAUUGUGUAGUUUAUGGUCAUACGAAAAUGUCCCCUAUUGAGGUUGCAAAAUGUGAUAGUGAGGAUACCCGUUCAAUUUGUUUGUCGGAGUAUGGUAGUGCUCCCACUACAACAAAAACAGCCUUUUAUGACAUUCCUUUACAGCGUGCAUCUAUGGCAUGUUGUAAAAAUAGACUAAUUACGGCGUGCGCUAUAUGUAUGCCGUAAAAGAUUAAUUAAUUAAAGUAUUUAUGGCGUACAUCCUUUGCACGCCAUAUUAAAUGAGAAUUUACGGCAUGCUUUUAGUGCUUGUAGUGUAUGUAAAAAAAUUAAAAUUUACGAAGCCCGCCAAUCUUUUACAGAAACGGCCCAAAUAGUUAAACUUAAAUCCCUCAAAAUUGAAAAGAGCACGAACAGCAGAGUUCAUCCCGCGACUACAGAGAAAUCACUCAAAAUCUGUCGAUCACUGUGAGUCACCGACGCCAUUGGAAGUAUUUGAUUUCAAUUUAUUUCUUUUUCUCACCAUUGCUCGGAUCUCUCCACUUCCCGUAAGCUUCAAUGAACCCUAACAUUCUAAUUCCGGCUUCAGAAUGUUUGAUAUUAUAUUUGUUUGUUAAAACUUGAGGAGGGUUUCUAUUUGAAAAUGAGUUGUUGGGGCCUGGGUAUUAUGUUUAUGUGAUUUGUGGGAUUGAAUGUAGGUGGGAAUUGAUUUGGGCAUGCAUUGGGCAGUGGCCAACGAGUAGCUAUUUCACAACAUUUAGUGCCAAAAUACGAUUUCAUUAUUGAUUUGGAAUGAUUAGAAUCUAUAGUAAGCUUCAGUCACCAAACUUGUAACAUGUCUAUCUACCUUUAAAUUUAUCACCCAAUUAUAAUUUUCUCUAAACUAUGCUCAAAUGGGAACAUAUAUGUACAUGGUAAAAACAAUUCCAUUACUCUGAUUAAAGAUCCUAUUUUACUCUGAGAUGUGUGUACAUGGUGACCCUAUUUACUGUAUAGAUGCUGAAAAAUCCAGUCCACUUCCUCCUGCAAACAAUUUUGCAUCAAGAAACAGAUUUGUAGGCUCAAAAUGUAUCGAGGUCAGGACUGAAGAGAGACAAAUCUCAGACUUCUAAAUUUGCUAUGUGCCAAUCUACAAACCGAGCUUGAAUUGUCUUGAACAAUAGCAGGAUGGUGGGUAAAAGCCACCAUCUCUCAUCCUCCUUGCCAUUACAAAAAAUUGAACUCUCAAUAAUCUACCACAAAACCUAUAGCGCCUGAGCCUCAGUUCCUAAUAUCCCUGGGGGGAUGUUAGGAAGUUUAAGUCAACAAAAUUGAAUAAUCUUAUCUUUGUGAGACUAGAUAGGCUUUUCUUCUACUCUAGUGGCUUUCCCUAUGUAUUCUCAUUCUUAUCUCUAUUCUAUAUAUUUUGAAGUGAUUUUUCAUUUAAAUCUGGUGAAAGCAGAGUUCCUGCACCACCAGUUCAUUCUGUGCAUGGUAUAGUAACUAUUGGGAAUGUACUUUGGAAAGUCUCGGGUAUGACUUGUAUAACUUGUUUUAAACGCUUGGAGAUAAAAUGCCUUUUGCUAAAGGAGGGACUAUUCUCAUUCAUAAAAUGGGAAUAUGAGAUGAUCUUAAAUUAUAGAUAAUUGCAGAGAUUGGUGAAUUCAUUAAUUUAUGCUCAUGUUAGAUUUUUUAGCCUAUAAAUUUUUGCAGAAGUUUUGCAUGUUAUGUUGGAGUUAUUUCAUCGAUGUUUAUGCUUCAUAGUUUUUGCAAUUUCAAUGGUGUUUAUAGGAAAUUGUUUUGGAAAGUUCGUGCUUCGUUUUCAAUUUCAAUUGCUUCUUUACGGUAAUGUAUUCAUUGACCAUUUCUAGCAGUGGCAUACAAUGGAAUGAACUAUGGACCAAAUGAAGUUGGAGGGAAGUAUCAGACCAAUCGGGUUCAGAACAAGGUCUACUAUGAUCUUCACACAUUUUGACUAAACUUUUUUCUAGUUGUGUUGCAGCCAAAAUGUUGGAUUGGAAUUUUAUUCUUAAAUAAAUGCCUUGUUGGUAUAUAUGGUCUCUGAACUUAAUUACAAAAUAUUCUUUUCAUUUACUAAGAGGUAGGAAAAAUGUGGCUCUAAACACAUCUCUUCUCACCACUGCUCCAAAUUUCCUGUAACUGGGUUUUGAGACUAGCCUUUUUGGUUCUCAUUCCCCCUUUAAGUUCGUAGUCGUUAAUAUAAUUUUAUAAAUUGCUAGCUAUCAUUCUUAUGAAUUUUAUGGUCUCGUUAUUUUCACAAAUGGACCUUUUGUUUAUGAUAGUGACUAAAGAAUAUUAAUUCUCGUUGCCACCAUUUAUCUAGUCUAGUUUCUUUAUAAAUUGAUCUAUGAUGUCUUGUGGUUAACCUUCGGCUAUGGUUUUGAGUCACAUUGUCCUGGUUUUUAUUUUUCUUUUUAGUUGCUGUUAGUUAAAUAACGUAGAUGCAUAUUCUUUCAUUACUUGAAAUUGGAUUGGUUCAUGAAGUCCAAGAAGUUGCACAAGUAAUGGAGUCAAAAGCACAAGUAGCCAUGACUUGGGUAUGUCUAGUUUGCUCUUCUAGCAAUUUUUUUAUCUUAUUUUACUUGUUUUGUUGUUUACUCUUAAAUUUUGGACAAGAACCAUAACAAAGAGGACCUUACUCAUAAAUUUCAGUAGCCAUAUACACCAGGCCAAGUGAAAUGAAAUUGAUGUUUGUUACUUGGUAUUUAUUUCAUAAAGGUACACCAUGAUUAAUUACUUUUCCUCUUUAUUUUUGGUUCCAGGACUAUUCAGUCUCACAGACUAAAAAAAAGCAUAUGGCAUGUAGCAAUUCGGUAUCCGUUGACCAUGUUACAAGCUACAAAUCUGGUCCAAAUGCUUGCUUGCCAACAGAAGAUCACCAUGAUUGUGGGAUGUCUUCAAUAUGGGUCGAAUAUUUUGUACUAUUUUAAUAAGUUAUUUUUGGAGUUGUAAUCGAUACUUUUGGUAUAUUGAUAUCGACUUUUUGACUAAGCUAAUGAUGUUCUCUACAUUUUUGAAUAUUGUAUUUGAUAGCACUUAAUAUUUUUAUUCAUUGAAAUUAUGCAAAACAUGAUUAUAUUAUAUGUGUUAGUAUAUAUAGUCCUUUUAAUUAUUAAUUAUUAUAAGCUUGUUGGUAAAUAAAUAAAUAAAUAUUUUUAACAAAUGAAAUUCACAUUUACGGCAUGUAAGUGCACGCCAUAAAAGAGUUGAGUAUUUAUAGCAUGCAAGUGCACGCCGUGAAAAAUAUAUUAAUGGCAUGUUUUUCAUUGCAUGCCGUAAAAGGAUGCUAGUAUUUACGGCAUGACUUUCUAUGGCAUGAGCCUAUACGUCGUAAAUAACUUUGCACACCUUAAAGAGUAAACUUUGUUGUAGUAUCCGAAUGUCAAUAUCUAUGGGGAUCCUAACUUUAAUUUU